rnacentral:rRNA from 1 species
GUGACAUACCUAUACGUUGCCUCGGCGGAUCAGCCCGCGCCCCGUAAAAAGGGACGGCCCGCCCGAGGACCCCUAAACUCUGUUUUUAGUGGAACUUCUGAGUAAAACAAACAAAUAAAUCAAAACUUUCAACAACGGAUCUCUUGGUUCUGGCAUCGAUGAAGAACGCAGCAAAAUGCGAUAAGUAAUGUGAAUUGCAGAAUUCAGUGAAUCAUCGAAUCUUUGAACGCACAUUGCGCCCGCCAGUAUUCUGGCGGGCAUGCCUGUUCGAGCGUCAUUUCAACCCUCAAGCUCAGCUUGGUGUUGGGACUCGCGGUAACCCGCGUUCCCCAAAUCGAUUGGCGGUCACGUCGAGCUUCCAUAGCGUAGUAAUCAUACACCUCGUUACUGGUAAUCGUCGCGGCCACGCCGUAAAACCCCAACUUCUGAAUGUUGACCUCGGAUCAGGUAGGAAUACCCGCUGAACUUAAGCAUAUCAAUAAGCGGAGGAA